CCCUUAGAUGUUCUGGGCCGCACGCGCGCUACACUGUUCGACGCAGCGAGUCUUAACCUUGACCGAAAGGUUUGGGUAAUCUUCAGCAAAGUCGAACGUGAUGGGGAUCGAUCAUUGCAAUUAUUGAUCGUGAACGAGGAAUUCCUAGUAAGCGCGAGUCAUCAGCUCGCGUUGAUUACGUCCCUGCCCUUUGUACACACCGCCCGUCGCUACUACCGAUUGAAUGGUUUAGUGAGAUCUUCGGAUUGGCGCCUACGCGGCUUCUCUGAGGCCACGCUGGAUGCCGAAAAGUUGCUCAAACUGUAUCAUUUAGAGGAAGUAAAAGUCGUAACA
rnacentral:rRNA from 1 species